UACGGGGGGAGCAAGCGUUGUUCGGAUUUACUGGGCGUAAAGGGCGCGUAGGCGGUCAGCACAAGUCAGUUGUGAAAUCUCCGGGCUUAACUCGGAAAGGUCAACUGAUACUGUGCGACUAGAGUGCGGAAGGGGCAACUGGAAUUCUCGGUGUAGCGGUGAAAUGCGUAGAUAUCGAGAGGAACACCUGCGGCGAAGGCGGCAUCCUGGACCGGUAUUGACGCUGAUGAGCGAAAGCCAGGGGAGCAAACGGG
rnacentral:rRNA from 1 species